rnacentral:rRNA from 3 species
CGCCCGGUUACAUUCCGAACCCGGAAGCUAAGCCUCACAGCGCCGAUGGUACUGCAGGGGGGACCCUGUGGGAGAGUAGGACGCCGCCGAAC